UGUGAUCUGCCCCUCCACUUCUUGCACUUUCUGCUCCUUCCCAGAGAGCACCCGGAGGCGCUGCGGCAUUCAGACCGCCCCGGGGGGGCUUCCCUGAGCCCCCCAGAGCCUGCCACUGCCCCCACCAAAAUGUGCCCGGUGCCAGGUCCAGCUCCUCCCUCAGGCUCAGGGCUCGGGCACCGAUCCUGCCCGGAGCUUUUGGAUCUCCCCCGGGGUUGCCAGUGUCCAGGGAGCCCCCAGAAGCCGCGGGCUCUGGGGGUCUCACCUCGAGGCAGGUGCCCAGCACCUCUCCGCGCCGUGGCUAGCGGCCACCUUGCAGCGACACGCUCAGCUCCUACCAAAUCCUCUUCUGCUUCUUGGUCCCUCCAACCCUGCUGCCUUGCCCCGUGCUCUCUGUGCCACCCCACCCCGGACACUCCCCGUGUCCCCUGGCAGGGGAAAGGUUCCCCUGAGGAAAGGUGCCCCCGUGCCAUGUUCCCCAGUGCAGGGGGUGCUGAGCCUGCCCCCAUGCAGCGGGGCAGGGAGACCGGGGGACACCCGUCCAGUCCAUCCCAGUGCCCGAGGCCUGACCCGUGCCUCAGUUUCCCCUUUGCCUGCAGGCAGGACCAGGAGGACAAGUGACCCGGUCCCCCCGGACACACGCUGCCACCCCCGGCACGCAGCCAAGGAGCUCCUGCCCCCCACCGCCCCCCGCCCCCAGCGCAGGGCUCAGCUGUGCUCCUGCUGCUGCCAGGGCCUGGCUGCCCCCCGGAUUUCGGGUUCCCAGCACCUCUGGGGCAGGGCAGGACGUGCCUUGGCACAGCCGCCUGGCUCGCAGCCACCGCCGCCCCGGCAUCCGCCUGCCUCUCCCGGCGUCCGGCGUGGGUGGGCGUCUGGAGGGGCUGCGUCCAAGGACCUGGAGGGACGCGGUGCCGGGGGGCACCCCGGGGUGCACAGGGCGUCACCGUGCCUGCCUGGUGUCACCGCCCCAUGGAGGGGCCGGCGAGGGGGUCCCUGGACGCAGGACGGGGGUCCCGUGGGGUGGCCGGCAGCUGGGGACGAGGCUCUGUGUGCGCACAGCUGCCGGCACGGCGCGGCGUGGCGUGGGUGGGUGCCCCGGCGUGCACACACACUGCUCCCCCCACCACCACCACCUUCCCCGCA
rnacentral:lncRNA from 1 species